AGGACGAACGCUGGCGGCGUGCUUAACACAUGCAAGUCGAGCGGUAAGGCCCCUUCGGGGGGUACACGGGCGGCGAACGGGUGAGUAACACGUGAGCAACCUGCCCUUCACUUCGGGAUAACCCCGGGAAACGGGCUAAUACCGGAUAUGACCACCCACGGCAUCGUGGGUGGUGGAAAGUUCCGGCGGUGAGGGAUGGGGCUCGCGGCCUAUCAGCUUGGUUGGUGGGGUAUGGCCCACGAAGGCGACGACGGGUAGCCGGCCUGGAGAGGGUGACCCGGCACACUGGGAACUGAGACACGGCCCAGACUCCUACGGGAGGCAGCAGGUGGGGAAUAUUGGGGACAAGUGGGGACGAAAGCCUAGGAUCCAAGCAACGCCGCGUGGAGGA
rnacentral:rRNA from 1 species